rnacentral:rRNA from 1 species
AUUGAACGCUGGCGGCAGGCCUAACACAUGCAAGUCGAGCGGAUGAAGGGAGCCUGCUCCUGGAUUCAGCGGCGGACGGGUGAGUAAUGCCUAGGAAUCUGCCUGGUAGUGGGGGAUAACGUCCGGAAACGGGCGCUAAUACCGCAUACGUCCUGAGGGAGAAAGUGGGGGAUCUUCGGACCUCACGCUAUCAGAUGAGCCUAGGUCGGAUUAGCUAGUUGGUGGGGUAAAGGCCUACCAAGGCGACGAUCCGUAACUGGUCUGAGAGGAUGAUCAGUCACACUGGAACUGAGACACGGUCCAGACUCCUACGGGAGGCAGCAGUGGGGAAUAUUGGACAAUGGGCGAAAGCCUGAUCCAGCCAUGCCGCGUGUGUGGAGAAGGUCUUCGGAUUGUAAAGCACUUUAAGUUGGGAGGAAGGGCAGUAAGUUAAUACCUUGCUGUUUUGACGUUACCAACAGAAUAAGCACCGGCUAACUUCGUG